AUUGAACGCUGGCGGCAGGCCUAACACAUGCAAGUCGAGCGGAGCGGCGGACGGGUGAGUAAUGCCUAUGAAUCUGCCUGGUCGUGGGGGGUAACGUCCGGCAACAGGCGCUAGUAACUCAUACUAUCAGUCGAGCCUAGGUCGGAUUAGCUAGUUGGUGGGGGAAAGGCUUGCCAAGGCGACGAUCCGUAACUGGUCUGAGAGGAUGAUCAGUCACACUGGAACGGAGACACGGUCCAGACUCCUACGGGAGGCAGCAGUGGGGAAUAUUGGACAAUGGGCGAAAGCCUGAUCCAGCCAUGCCGCGUGUGUGAAGAAGGUCGUCGGAUUGUAAAGCACUUUAAGUUGGGAGGCGUUACCAACAGAAGAAGCACCGGCUAACUCCGUGCCAGCAGCCGCGGUAAUAC
rnacentral:rRNA from 1 species